GCGGCAAACGGGUGAGUAAUAUCUGGGAAUCUACCCAAAAGAGGGGGAUAACUAUUAGAAAUGGUAGCUAAUACCGCAUAAAGUUGAAAAACCAAAGUAGGGGAUCUUUUUAAAAGACCUUGCGCUUUUGGAUGAGCCCAGACGAGAUUAGCUUGUUGGUAAGGUAAAAGCUUACCAAGGCUUCGAUCUCUAGCUGGUCUGAGAGGAUAACCAGCCACACUGGAACUGAGACACGGUCCAGACUCCUACGGGAGGCAGCAGUGGGGAAUAUUGCACAAUGGGCGAAAGCCUGAUGCAGCUAUGCCGCGUGUAUGAAGAAGGCCUUAGGGUUGUAAAGUACUUUCAGCGGGGAGGAAAAAGAUAAAACUAAUAAUUUUAU
rnacentral:rRNA from 1 species